rnacentral:rRNA from 1 species
CCUACGGGUGGCAGCAGUGGGGAAUAUUGGACAAUGGGGGCAACCCUGAUCCAGCCAUGCCGCGUGUGUGAAGAAGGCCCUCGGGUUGUAAAGCACUUUCAGUGAGGAAGAACGCCUGGUGGUUAAUACCCAUCAGGAAAGACAUCACUCACAGAAGAAGCACCGGCUAACUCCGUGCCAGCAGCCGCGGUAAUACGGAGGGUGCGAGCGUUAAUCGGAAUUACUGGGCGUAAAGCGCGCGUAGGUGGCUUGAUAAGCCGGUUGUGAAAGCCCCGGGCUCAACCUGGGAACGGCAUCCGGAACUGUCAAGCUAGAGUGCAGGAGAGGAAAGUAGAAUUCCCGGUGUAGCGGUGAAAUGCGUAGAGAUCGGGAGGAAUACCAGUGGCGAAGGCGGCCUUCUGGACUGACACUGACACUGAGGUGCGAAAGCGUGGGUAGCAAACAGGAUUAGAUACCCCGGUAGUC